rnacentral:rRNA from 1 species
CCUACGGGAGGCAGCAGUGAGGAAUAUUGGUCAAUGGGCGCGAGCCUGAACCAGCCAAGCAGCGUGAAGGAUGACUGUCCUCCGGGUUGUAAACUUCUUUUAUAAGGGAAUAAAGUGAGGCACGUGUGCCUUGUUGUAUGUACUUUAUGAAUAAGGAUCGGCUAACUCCGUGCCAGCAGCCGCGGUAAUACGGAGGAUCCGAGCGUUAUCCGGAUUUAUUGGGUUUAAAGGGAGCGUAGAUGGGUUGUUAAGUCAGUUGUGAAAGUUUGCGGCUCAACCGCAAAAUUGCAAUUGAUACUGGCAGUCUUGAGUACAGUUGAGGUAGGCGGAAUUCGAGGUGUAGCGGUGAAAUGCUUAGAUAUCACGAAGAACUCCGAUUGCGAAGGCAGCUUACUAACCCGACACUGACACUGAUGCUCGAAAGCGUGGGUAUCAAACAGGAUUAGAUACCCGUGUAGUC